UGGGCUGGCCGGGCGACCGCGUCACCGCCCGAGAGGGAGGUGCCGAGGAAGGUCCGGGCUCCACAGGGCAGGGUGGUGGGUAACGCCCACCCGGGGUGACCCGCGGGAAAGUGCCACAGAGAACAGACCGCCUGCCCGGCUGCUUCGGCGGCAGGGCAGGUAAGGGUGAAACGGUGGUGUAAGGGACCACCAGCGACCGGGGCGACCCGGCCGGCUCGGCAAACCCCACCUGGAGCAAGGUCAAGAAGUCCGGAGCCCUCGGGCCCCGGACGCGCGCACGACUGAGGGCGGCCCGCCCGAGUGCGCGGGUAGACCGCUGGAGGCGGCCGGCAACGGUCGUCGUAGAUGGAUGGUCGCCACGCUUCGGCGUACAGAACCCGGCCUACAGGCCAGCCCAUCCG
rnacentral:RNase_P_RNA from 2 species